UACAGAGGGUGCGAGCGUUAAUCGGAAUUACUGGGCGUAAAGCGCGCGUAGGCGGCUUCGCAAGUCGGGUGUGAAAUCCCCAAGCUCAACUUGGGAACUGCAUUCGAGACUGCGUUGCUAGAGUAUGGGAGAGGGAAGUGGAAUUUCAGGUGUAGCGGUGAAAUGCGUAGAUAUCUGAAGGAACAUCAGUGGCGAAAGCGACUUCCUGGACCAAUACUGACGCUCAUGUGCGAAAGCGUGGGAGCAAACAGG
rnacentral:rRNA from 1 species